UACGAAGGGGGCUAGCGUUGCUCGGAAUCACUGGGCGUAAAGCGCACGUAGGCGGAUUGCUAAGUCAGGGGUGAAAUCCUGGGAGCUCAACUCCAGAACUGCCUUUGAUACUGGCGAUCUCGAGUCCGGGAGAGGUAAGUGGAACUGCGAGUGUAGAGGUGAAAUUCGUAGAUAUUCGCAAGAACACCAGUGGCGAAGGCGGCUCACUGGCCCGGUACUGGACGCUGAGGUGCGAAAGCGUGGGGAGCAAACAGGG
rnacentral:rRNA from 1 species